AGAGUUUGAUCCUGGCUCAGAGCGAACGCUGGCGGCAGGCUUAACACAUGCAAGUCGAGCGGGCGUAGCAAUACGUCAGCGGCAGACGGGUGAGUAACGCGUGGGAACAUACCUUUUGGUUCGGAACAACACAGGGAAACUUGUGCUAAUACCGGAUAAGCCCUUACGGGGAAAGAUUUAUCGCCGAAAGAUUGGCCCGCGUCUGAUUAGCUAGUUGGUGAGGUAACGGCUCACCAAGGCGACGAUCAGUAGCUGGUCUGAGAGGAUGAUCAGCCACAUUGGGACUGAGACACGGCCCAAACUCCUACGGGAGGCAGCAGUGGGGAAUAUUGGACAAUGGGCGCAAGCCUGAUCCAGCCAUGCCGCGUGAGUGAUGACGGCCUUAGGGUUGUAAAGCUCUUUCGCUCGGGACGAUAAUGACGGUACCGAGAUAAGAAGCCCCGGCUAACUUCGUGCCAGCAGCCGCGGUAAUACGAAGGGGGCUAGCGUUGUUCGGAAUUACUGGGCGUAAAGCGCGUGUAGGCGGGUCUUUAAGUCAGGGGUGAAAUGCCAAGGCUCAACCUUGGAACUGCCUUUGAUACUGGAGAUCUUGAGUCCGGGAGAGGUGAGUGGAAUUGCGAGUGUAGAGGUGAAAUUCGUAGAUAUUCGCAAGAACACCAGUGGCGAAGGCGGCUCACUGGCCCGGAACUGACGCUGAGACGCGAAAGCGUGGGGAGCAAACAGGAUUAGAUACCCUGGUAGUCCACGCUGUAAACGAUGGAUGCUAGCCGUUGGGGAGCUUGCUCUUCAGUGGCGCAGCUAACGCUUUAAGCAUCCCGCCUGGGGAGUACGGUCGCAAGAUUAAAACUUAAAGGAAUUGACGG
rnacentral:rRNA from 2 species